rnacentral:rRNA from 1 species
AAUGAACGCUGGCGGCAGGCCUAAAACAUGCAAGUCGAACGAUGUAGCAAUACAGAGUGGCGCACGGGUGAGUAACAUGUGGGAAUAUGCCUUUUGGUACGGGACAACAGUUGGAAACGACUGCUAAUACCGUAUGGUCCCUUCGGGGUAAAGAUUUAUCGCCAAAAGAGUAGCCCGCACUAGAUUAGUUUGUUGGUAAGGUAAUGGCUUACCAAGACUACGAUCUAUAGUUGGUUUGAGAGGAUGAUCAGCCACACUGGAACUGAGACACGGUCCAGACUCCUACGGGAGGCAGCAGUUAGGAAUAUUGGACAAUGGGCGCAAGCCUGAUCCAGCCAUGUCGCGUGAACGAUGAAGGCCUUCGGGUUGUAAAGUUCUUUAGCCUGUGAGUAUAAUGAACGUAGCAGGAGAAAAGCUCCGGCUAACUUCGUGCCAGCAGCCGCGGUAAUACGAAGGGGGCGAGCGUUAUUCGGAAUCACUGGGCGUAAAGCGUACGUAGGCGGUUUAAUAAGUUAGAAGUGAAAGCCCUGGGCUCAACCUAGGAAUUGCUUUUAAAACUGCUAAACUAGAAUCUCGGAGGGGAUGGUGGAAUUUCCAGUGUAGAGGUGAAAUUCGUAGAUAUUGGAAGGAACACCAGUGGCGAAGGCGACCAUCUGGACGAGUAUUGACGCUGAGGCACGAAAGCGUGGGAGCAAACACAGGAUUAGAUACCCUGGUAGUCCACGCCGUAAACGAUGUAAACUAGCCGUUGGGACCUUAGGUUUCAGUGGCGCAGCUAACGCACUAAGUUUACCGCCUGGGGAGUACGGCCGCAAGGUUAAAACUCAAAGGAAUUUGACGGGGACCCGCACAAGCGGUGGAGCAUGUGGUUUAAUUCGAUGCAACGCGCAGAACCUUACCAGCCCUUGACAUCCCGAUUGGGAGGAGCAGAGAUGCACCUCUUCAUUUAGUUGGAUCGGUGACAGGUGCUGCAUGGCUGUCGUCAGCUCGUGUCGUGAGAUGUUGGGUUAAGUCCCGCAACGAGCGCAACCCCUGUUAUCAGUUGCCAUCAGUUUCGGCUGGGCACUCUGAUGAGACUGCCGGUGAUAAGCCGGAGGAAGGCGGGGAUGACGUCAAGUCCUCAUGGCCCUUAUGGGCUGGGCUACACACGUGCUACAAUGGCAGAUACAAUGAGCAGCCAACCCGCGAGGCGAGCUAAUCUUUAAAAUCUGUCUCAGUUCGGAUUGUUCUCUGCAACUCGAGAGCAUGAAGUCGGAAUCGCUAGUAAUCGUGGAUCAGCAUGCCACGGUGAAUACGUUCCCGGGUCCUGUACACACCGCCCGUCAAGUGAUGGGAGUUGGUUUCACCCGAAGGCGGGGCGCUAACCGUAAGGAGGCAGGCGACCACGGUAGUGUCAGCGACUGGGGUG